rnacentral:misc_RNA from 1 species
GAUGAAGAACGUAGCGAAAUGCGAUAAGUAAUGUGAAUUGCAGAAUUCAGUGAAUCAUCGAAUCUUUGAACGCACAUUGCGCCCGCCAGUAUUCUGGCGGGCAUGCCUGUUCGAGCGUCAUUUCAACCAUCAAGCCCCCGGCUUGUGUUGGGGACCUGCGGCUGCCGCAGGCCCUGAAAACCAGUGGCGGGCUCGCUAGUCACUCCGAGCGUAGUAAUAUAUCUCGCUCAGGGCGUGCUGCGGGUUCCGGCCGUUAAAAAAGCCUUAUUUACCCAAGGUUGACCUCGGAUCAGGUAGGAAGACCCGCUGAACUUAAGCAUAUCAAUAAGCGGAGGA